AUUUAUUUAAUAUAAAAAUAGUAUACUUGACUUCCAAUCAAGAAGCUUGUCCUACACAAAAUAAAUA
rnacentral:tRNA from 1 species